AACGUAGGACGCAAGCGUUAUCCGGAGUUAUUGGGCGUAAAGCGCACGUAGGCGGCUUGGCAAGUCGGAUGUGAAAUCCCUCGGCUCAACCAAGGAAGUGCAUCCGAAACUGCUGAGCUUGAGUACUUAAGAGGAUCGCGGAAUUCCCGGUGUAGAGGUGAAAUGCGUAGAUAUCUGGAGGAACACCGGUGGCGAAGGCGGCAUCCUGGACCGACACCGACGCUGAGGAGCGAAAGCCAGGGGAGCAAACGGG
rnacentral:rRNA from 1 species